UUUUUUAUUUGAUUUUCAGGGAAGGCUUUGCAGCCAGCUACCAGGCUUUUGUACAGCAUUUCUGACAUGGAGCCCAAACUGAGAAUCCCUUGUGUUAGCACAAUGGUACUUACAGUAUUUAGUAGUGGGAGGGACAUUACAUUUACAUGAAAAACACACAUAACCUUCCCUUUCUAAAGUGAUAAGGGGUGUACUGAAAUAAUUGAUAAGGGGAUUAUUUAUAUCUGGCACAUCCAUUAAAUGCAAUGUAGAAAAUAACAGAUAUACCAGAGCCACAGACUCUAGUCAGAGAAUGAAUAUUGGUUUACUCAACUUGGUCACAAAUUAUUCAUUCAGCAAUGUUUCUCCCUUUCCCUUGGACUCACCAAUCUGGCCUGCAGAGUUGAAAAUCCUCUCAUAAAGAUCUAAAUAAAUUCACUCCCUAAUUUUCACCUGCUGAAGCCUCAGGAUGCUCACCAAGUCACAAGGUUGGCACACUGACCAUUGGGAAGAAGAUAAAAAUGACUAUUGUAUAUAUUCUUACCAAGCUACACAGAACCAGGGCUUUCUUAGAUACUGGUAAAACCAAAACUCCUGAAGUAACAGCAGGCUAGCCAUCGGCAAAACUACAGUGUAGGAAUAAAUUUGCUUCUAGUGCUUUCUUGCCUCCUGUCUCCUUUGACCUCCAACCUCAAGGUAUGCUCCAUUUCAGCAAGACUUGUUCUCAAUUUGACCCAUCUUAGGUGCCAACUGAUGAUGGUUUCAGGUGCCAAUGAGUAUUUGAGGUUUAGAAGAAAAUUCUAGGCACCUAGAAAGCCUUUAGAGAGCAAAGGAACAAGUCUAUAAUGAAGGAAGUCCAGGCACCAUGACAAAAGGUGAAAACAGUUAUUGUAACCAGGGAAGUAUAUUGGCUGAACACUUAAAGGCUGCCUUAAGGUUGAGCUUCUCAUCAUUAAAUAUCAAAAUUAACUCAAAAUCUAAAUUUCUCAGAGGCAUACUGAUUUAGUACUGUAAUUGGAUUUCUGUGGCAGAACAGAGUCAGUAUAAGAGAUCAAGACUAACCUGGGGAUGACUUAGAUAAGUGAGAUAUGAAAAGCCAAAACUAAUAGGUUUAAGCAUGAAAAAAGCAUUAAGAUCUACUAGAGGAGGAGAAUACGGGUCAAAGAAAUGGAAGCAUGGCUUCAGGCACUGGUUCACAGAGAGCACCUGUGAGAACCAUGCACGGGCAACGUAGAUAAUGUGGAACUAGUUUGUUUCCCGUGUAUUAUCUGUCUUUACAGGAAAUAUCACAUGGUUUUACAGGUAAGAAAGUGUGGCUCAAAGAAGUUAACAAGCAUUUUCAGUCAAUAGUUAUUAGUGCUAAAAUACACUAAGAAGAUAAAAGGAAAAGCAUUCCCUGUAUGUUAAUUACACUAAUUUAGGAUUGCUCUUUCCUGCCAGCACAUUGAAGCAUAGAUUUUUCAGAGAAAGGAAGGGAGGAUUGGAGGGAGGAAAGGAGAGAUAGAACUUAAGAAAGAAAAAGAAAAAUAGACAAAAAUCAA
rnacentral:lncRNA from 1 species